GAUUUGGCACUUAACUGAUAAGUGUUACACUUUUAUUAAUAUACCGCUAUUAUACAUAAGAUACACAAAUAGGCAAGGAUGAAGAAAACCACCACGAGAAACGUGAUUUUUCUUAUUUCUAUUGUGUUCCGCGAUAAUAGAAGCAUGCCCUAAGAGUGUCAUGAUUGUUAUCAAAUAAAAGCUUUCCUCCGAAAAAAGGAAACGCCUUGAGCACUUACGGAAUGGUUUGAACACAUAGCAGGUGUUAUAUAUCGCAAAAUUAAUUUUAGGGCUUUAUAUAUUUACAUAUGUUUCUGAGACGAGAUUUAAAAUGUUUGAGAAGUUUUUUAUUAGUAUCUCUUAAGUCUGCUCGUGAGCAAUAAGCUUUGUUACCAAGUUUGUGUAAUUCACGAAAAAGCUAAACAUAUUUUCUUUUUGUUUGUACGUUCGCGCAACAUCAGAAUCAAUCAAAGUCAGACCGCUAUCUUUAUGCAUUGUUUAGAUUGCACAGCAUGUUUUAUAUCAUUUGUGUCUGUCUUUUCAAUGUGUUUCAUGCAUACGACUGAAUUAGAUAAUUGUUAUUCUAUAGUUGAUUAUGAACAGAUGUUCCCAUUUUGAAAACAAUGCACAAGUGAAGUUUCACAACGAGUGCUGCCUAUUAUUAAUGAUUUCCGGAACACGUUAAUAUGGUGAAGAAGAUUUUGAUACUGUGUAUGCUCGUGGUUGCAGUGUUCUUUGUCCUUUGGCAUUUGGUUGUAUCAGGAAUUCAACCACCAGUCCAAUUGGUAGAGGUGACAAAUUUGGAAGUAGUUGGAGUCGACAGUGUAUCUUAUGAAGGUGAUUACGGUCACGAAACGGCAGAGGGUGGGGGGUAGUUAGAAUACUUGCAGAUAUUCUGAUUUGUGAAAUAAAUUCUGAUUUGUGAAAUAAAAGCCAUGUUAUAUGGAUUUAACAAUACAA
rnacentral:lncRNA from 1 species